rnacentral:rRNA from 1 species
UACAGAGGGGGCAAGCGUUGUUCGGAAUUACUGGGCGUAAAGGGCGCGUAGGCGGUCCGCUAAGUCGAACGUGAAAUCCCCGAGCUCAACUCGGGAACUGCGUCCGAUACUGGCGGGCUUGAAUCCGGGAGAGGGAUGCGGAAUUCCAGGUGUAGCGGUGAAAUGCGUAGAUAUCUGGAGGAACACCGGUGGCGAAGGCGGCAUCCUGGACCGGCAUUGACGCUGAGGCGCGAAAGCUAGGGGAGCAAACGGG